CUAUCACGUUAGCAAAAUACAAUUCUUUUACACAAGUUUUAUUGAAAUCGUGUGCUUUCUCUGUAUUUUUUGCAUGACAAUCGUUAUUCGAUAUGGUUCAGUGUGUUGCUUUCGGGUGCAAAGAACGUGAGGAAAAUGGAAAGAAGGGUUUUUUUCCGUUUUGCGAAGGAUGAUGUUACUUGUAAGAAAUGGAUAAAGGCUGUCAAUUCCAGGAGAGUAAUCGAUGGGAGACUGGUUGAUUUCAAACCGAGUAAGGCAUCUAGAUUGUGCUUGAAACAUUUUGACGACAGUUGUUUUUUUCAUCCUCCAAGUGUUAUGGCUAGUGUUGGAAUGGAGUUAAAGCUCAAGCUCAAAGCUGGUGCAAUUCCAACGAUAUUUCCGGAAACAGAGGCAUACAAAGCUUCAAAGAAAGCUCCUCUAAAUCCCAACGACCUUGGACCAGGGAAGCACAACCGAGCGAAGUAUGGCGCCUAUUCUGAAAGGAACCGGACCCAUAUUCAUCAUGUGUGGAAGAGCCAGAUGUCUGUGAAGAAAUGUCUUGUGAACAGUCGCCUGUUCGGAUCAGUUAUCCUGAAUCACAUUUUGAUAAUGUGUAUUCGCAGUCAUCACAGACAUCUGAGACGGUUGUAUUUCGGCCAACAGAACAUAAGGGAUUCACUGUCAAACCACAGGGAAAGGACUCUCCUAUCCUAAGUACAAGGCUGGACACCAUGUGGUUAAAGCAGUUAAAGAGAAUUGCACUUAUGACUAUGUUGAUGAACUAAUGGCAGAGCUGCUUAGGAUGAAAGAGGAGUACAAGAGCGAUGCCAAUGCAAGGGCUGCCUCUGGCAACAUUCUGUUUUCACCGCCACCCGUCUUCAUCUGCAAACAGAAUCCUGAAGUCAGAGGCUGUGCAGAACCAUCGUUCGCGAUUUAAUUAGCGAACAGGGAUGGAAAUUAGUGGUUGCCC